rnacentral:rRNA from 1 species
UGGGAUGACGUCAAGUCAGCAUGGCCUUUAUAUCUUGGGCGUACACACACGCUACAAUGGUCUGUACAAUAGGUUGCCAAGCCGCGAGGCGGAGCCAAUCCUAAAAGCAAGGCCUCAGUUCAGAUUGCAGUCUGCAACCCGACUGCAUGAAGAUGGAGUUGCUAGUAACCGCAGGUCAGCUAUACUCGCGGUCGAAUACGUUCCGGCCUU